AGUUUUGCGCUGUGGCAGUAUUGUAGCCAAUGAGGUUUAUCUGAGGUACGAUUAUUGCUAAGAGAAAAAGUACCAGACUUAAGUGCCACCUGAUGAUUCGCAAUUGGAAGUACAUGACACCUAUGAAGUCUUCUGGCCAAAGAAUUGAGGCUGGGUCUUAUUAAACCUUUAAGUCUAACAAUCAGUUUUGAAAUUUUUAUAGAUUAAAGGAAGU
ensembl:snRNA U4 U4 spliceosomal RNA